CAGCAGCAGCCACGGGAAUACGGAGGGGGCUAGCGUUGUUCGGAAUUACUGGGCGUAAAGCGCACGUAGGCGGCUUGGUAAGUUAGAGGUGAAAGCCUGGAGCUCAACUCCAGAAUUGCCUUUAAGACUGCCGAGCUAGCAGGUGAGAGAGGUAAGUGGAAUUCCGAGUGUAGAGGUGAAAUUCGUAGAUAUUCGGAAGAACACCAGUGGCGAAGGCGGCUUACUGGCUCAUACUGGACGCUGAGGUGCGAAAGCGUGGGGAGCAAACAGGAUUAGAUACCCCUGUAGUCCCUGUCUCUUAUAC
rnacentral:rRNA from 1 species